GUGAGGAAUAUUGGUCAAUGGGCGAGAGCCUGAACCAGCCAAGUCGCGUGAAGGAAGAAGGAUCUAUGGUUCGUAAACUUCUUUUGCAGGGGAAUAAAGUGCAGGACGUGUCCUGUUUUGUAUGUACCCUGAGAAUAAGGAUCGGCUAACUCCGUGCCAGCAGCCGCGGUAAUACGGAGGAUCCGAGCGUUAUCCGGAUUUAUUGGGUUUAAAGGGUGCGUAGGUGGUUUGAUAAGUCAGCGGUGAAAAUUUGCAGCUUAACUGUAAGAAUGCCGUUGAAACUGUCGGACUUGAGUGUAAAUGAGGUAGGCGGAAUGCGUGGUGUAGCGGUGAAAUGCAUAGAUAUCACGCAGAACUCCGAUUGCGAAGGCAGCUUACUAAGCUACAACUGACACUGAAGCACGAAAGCGUGGGGAUCAAACAGGAUUAGAAACCCUGGUAGUCC
rnacentral:rRNA from 1 species